GAAGUUUGCCAACAGCCUGAAACUGAGCCGCAGCACGGUGGCCAUGACCAAACAGUGGAUUAACAGGACAGGUUCCACUCAGAACAGGCCUCACCACGGUCGACCAAAGAAGUUGAGUGCACACGCUCAGUGACAUAUCCAGAGGUUGUCUUUGGAAAAUAGACAUAUGAGUGCUGCCAGUAUUGCUGCAGAGGUUGACGGGGUGGGGGAUCAGCCAGUCAGUGCUCAGACCAUACAACACACACUGCAUCAAAUUGGUCUGCAUGGCCGUCAUCCCAGAAGGAAGCCUCUUCUAAAGAUGAUGCAAAAGAAAGCCUGCAAGCAGUUCACUAAAGACAAGCAGACUAAGGACAUGGAUUACUGGAACCAUGUCCUGUGGUCUGAUGAGACCGAGAUAAACUUAUUUGGUUCAGAUGGUGUCAAGUGUGUGUGAUGGCAACCAGGUGAGGAGUACAAAGACAAGUGUCUUGCCUACAGUCAAGCGUGGUGGUGGGAGUGUCAUGGUCUGGAGCUGCAUGAGUGCUGCCGGCACUGGGGAGCUACAGUUCAUUGAGGGAACCAUGAAUACCAGCAUGUACUUGAUACCGUCGCUUUGGAAA